UGGGGAAUAUUGGACAAUGGGCGCAAGCCUGAUCCAGCCAUGCCGCGUGAGUGAUGAAGGCCCUAGGGUUGUAAAGCUCUUUCACCGGUGAAGAUAAUGACGGUAACCGGAGAAGAAGCCCCGGCUAACUUCGUGCCAGCAGCCGCGGUAAUACGAAGGGGGCUAGCGUUGUUCGGAUUUACUGGGCGUAAAGCGCACGUAGGCGGACUAUUAAGUCAGGGGUGAAAUCCCGGGGCUCAACCCCGGAACUGCCUUUGAUACUGGUAGUGUUGAGUUCGAGAGAGGUGGGUGGAAUUCCGAGUGUAGAGGUGAAAUGCGUAGAUAUUCGGAGGAGCACCAGUGGCGAAGGCGGCUCACUGGCUCGAUACUGACGCUGAGGUGCGAAAGCGUGGGGAGCAAACAGG
rnacentral:rRNA from 1 species